ACGGCCGCAAGGUUGAAACUCAAAUGAAUUGACGGGGGCCCGCACAAGCGGUGGAGCAUGUGGUUUAAUUCGAUGCAACGCGAAGAACCUUACCUACCCUUGACAUCCUGCGAACCCUGAUGAGAGUUGGGGGUGCCGAAAGGAGCGCAGAGACAGGUGCUGCAUGGCUGUCGUCAGCUCGUGUUGUGAGAUGUUGGGUUAAGUCCCGUAACGAGCGCAACCCUUGUCCUUAGUUGCCAGCAUUUAGUUGGGGACUCUAAGGAGACUGCCGGUGAGGAACCGGAGGAAGGCGGGGACGACGUCAAGUCAUCAUGGCCUUUAUGGGUAGGGCUACACACGUGCUACAAUGGGGCGUACAGAGGGUCGCGAACCCGCGAGGGGGAGCCAAUCCCGAAAAGCGUCUCGUAGUCCGGAUUGGAGUCUGCAACUCGACUCCAUGAAGUUGGAAUCGCUAGUAAUCGCGAAUCAGCAUUGUCGCGGUGAAUACGUUCCCGGGCCUUGUACACACCGCCCGUCACGUCAUGGGAGUGGAUGGUACCAGAAGCGCGUAGUCUAACCGCAAGGGAGACGCCUGCCACGGUAUGAUUCAUGACUGGGACG
rnacentral:rRNA from 1 species